rfam:Oryza glaberrima chromosome 5 Oglab05_0004_7, whole genome shotgun sequence.
UAUAAGGGAUUUUGAGUUUUUGCUUGCAACGUUUGACCAGUCGUCUUAUUCAAAAAAUUUUGAAAUUAUUAUUUAUUUUAUUUGUGACUUACUUUAUUAUCUACAAUACUUUAAGCAUAACUUUUCAUUUUUUAUAUUUGCAAAAAAAAUUUAAAUAAGACGAGUGGUCAAACGUUAUAAGCAAAAACUCAAAAUCCCUUAUA